UUUGAAGGUCCAGUUAAAACGACCCAAGGAUGCUAACCAUCCCUACUGAUGGCAGCGAGCAAGCAGGAGUCACUUCUGCAGCACAGAGACUGACUCCUUGCAAGAGGGAUUGGAAGUUAAGGGUUUGUCUUUGCAACAGUGUCCUCUCAGCAAGCACUGCAGAUAGGCCUGAACAUUUUGAGAGGAUGCUUGGAUGGACACAGCAAGAGAGAGAGAGAGCGUGUGCAUCUCUCUACUCAACAUUACCAAGAAGCAAGGAGAAAGAGAAUUACAUACCUCCAGGAUUAGGGCACAGCCAGCUGCUCAGCUCGAGUCACUCAUCCACCAACCUUAGCACCAGCCUGGUUAAGGAUCUCAAGAGCUCUCAGUCUUACCUUUCCCAAGGGCUUUUGCAGACAGAGCUCCUGGAGUUUGGUGCCAAAGCCUAGCCUGAGUACUCAAUUAGGCUGAAAGCACAGGAAACCAGUCCCUUUACCUACAGGAGCUGUACUGCCUCCCCAUACGUGGCACAGAUCUGUAUUUCGUAGCUCUCAAUGGUAAUGGAGCAUUUUCUUGAUCAAGGCAAGAGAAGAUAAGAGAGUGUGAGCAGAUGCUAUCUCCAAAACAGAGUGACAGAAGCCUCCCAGGGGCUACACACUGCCUCCACAUAUCGGAAGUAACCUAAUGCUGGUUAGCGGGCAGUUCCGAUUCCCAGACGAAAUGGGACAUUUUCUCCAUCUGAAUUUCGCAAGAGGACUCACCCCUUUCUUACACUCUGCAAAGCUUUCCCAAGCAGACAUCAAGGAUAGUGUGAUGAAAGAGGAUUGCCAUUCUGUUUUUUUCCCACCACCCCCUCCAAGGGACAGAUUAUGCAUUAUGCAGCAUGUACAGAUACAGUUAUAUACACAUACACUUAAGUACAGAACAUAGUUCAGAGCUUGAUUUAACAAAUAUCCCCUGGGGGUAAGGGGGGGGGUGUCAUACUGACAAGGCAUAUCCCUUUAACAACUUGAAACAGUCUCUUUAAGUUUCUACCAAAACAAGGAAAGGAAAGAAAAACAAAACAAACCAACCCUACAAACCUUCUGAAUGAUAAGUUUCAAUAUUCCAGUUUGAUAAGGUACCAAGAACAUUCCUGUGUGUGUGUGUGUGUGUGUGUGGUGUGUGUAUCUAUCUGCGUUCAAACAUGAACAGAGGGUUGGUGGAGAAAGAUUGAUGCAAUUGAUACUGAAGCGAGAUAUGGGGACUUCAGGGAACCUCAGCCAAUUCUCAUCCUCCUCCAGUUUCCCUUUAUUCAGAUGUUUGUGGCACAGUUCUUUAAGUACCUUCAUCUCCUCAACCACCCCUCUGUAUCUGAAGCUGAGAGUUUGAGAUGGGUGAAGCUGUGUGAGUACGUGUGUUUCUAUAGUCCAUGUUUACUUACUGUAAAUACCAUUUUUAUACUUAACAUCUAUUAUGUACGUGAUUUGUAUAAUGUACUUUAUUUCUGCUACAAGUAAUUUCAUGAAGUUUAAACUUAAUCUAAUUUUGAACAAAACAAAACAAAACCAAACAAACAAAAAAAGAGACCAACAAAUGCAAAAUGGGAAAAAAAGGACUUUGGAAAUUCUAGGUCAAGCUGGUUUAAAACAAGCAUUUACAGUUUCUUCCAUCACAGUUACUGAUGUGACUGUACAAUGUUACAGGUGUGAUACAAGCUUCGUCAAUGUCAAAUUCCUCAUUCUGGUCAAAAAAAAUCUUAAAUUUAUUUAAUAAAAGUUCUACUUGCUAAGUAACUGGGGUUUUACUUCAUGUGUUAGUUGCACCUGCUUUUAGAUAAUGCUUACACUUGAAGACAAUCACCAAAGGCCUGGGACAACGAAAGUCUCUUUCCAUUCGGCAGAUCAUCUGUGUAGUCAGUUAAAAAGAAUUUCAUAGGGGGAUGGAUGACAGAGCCUGAGUCCUACAGAAUACAACCCUGGCUUACUCUGAACACCACACGGCGUCCCCGUGUCUCUAAGAAGGUUGUGGAUUUUUAUUCCAGUCUUCAGCAUAUGAUCCCCAAAAUGCAAGUUUGUUAUAUUAGCCCAAUUGCAAUGAGUUAGUUCAGCAGCCAGGCUCCAGCAGAGCUAAACACAAACCAGUCACAGCUCUUGUGUGCAGAUACCAGGUAUCUUUUAAGCCCUUGUGUACUCUGUUCACGCCUGAGAGAACAAAACUGGUUCUCUCAACAGCACCUUGAUGGAAAUCAAUCAAUCGAGAACCAAAGCCCAGCCCAUCUGGUGCUAUGCACAGAACCAGGAAAAAAGAAAGCAAAUGCACAGACUCAUCGUCUCUGCCCUGAAGGUGAGGAACACGCUAGUGGUUGGUAGAGAAGCAACUCUGUUUGCCAUGCCCAUGUUUCAGCCCCUCCUAUAAAAGCACCAGUUUCCCUCGGGCUUUCUUCCUAUAAAUAAAUAUAAAUACAUAAAUUUCUUCCUAUAUAUAAGCCCCUAUUUAAUGGUCCUGGAGAAAAGCAGAAUAUGAGCACAGAAUGAAAUCUAAGACUACCUCAGUUUUUGAUGCCUCCUUGCCCCUGCACCAACUCAAUUCUGCAGUGACUGAGCCAAGGUGUAUACUGCAAACUGUCAUGAGAAGCAAGCAGGUGUGUGUUUUAGAAGGGGCAAGUUCAAACUCGAGAUUGCGGUGAGUUCUUAUUUUCACACAGCUCCAUAGAAAGCUUUGUCUUGUCAAAAUCCAGUCAAUGGCAAGGAGAGAGGAAGGAAAACUCAGCUGGUGUCUGUU
rnacentral:lncRNA from 1 species